CCUACGAGGGGCAGCAGUAGGGAAUCUUCCACAAUGGGCGAAAGCCUGAUGGAGCAACGCCGCGUGGGUGAAGAAGGUCUUCGGAUCGUAAAACCCUGUUGUUAGAGAAGAAAGUGCGUGAGAGUAACUGUUCACGUUUCGACGGUAUCUAACCAGAAAGCCACGGCUAACUACGUGCCAGCAGCCGCGGUAAUACGUAGGUGGCAAGCGUUAUCCGGAUUUAGUGGGCGUAAAGGGAACGCAGGCGGUCUUUUAAGUCUGAUGUGAAAGCCUUCGGCUUAACCGGAGUAGUGCAUUGGAAACUGGGAGACUUGAGUGCAGAAGAGGAGAGUGGAACUCCAUGUGUAGCGGUGAAAUGCGUAGAUAUAUGGAAGAACACCAGUGGCGAAAGCGGCUCUCUGGUCUGUAACUGACGCUGAGGUUCGAAAGCGUGGGUAGCAAACAGGAUUAGAUACCCGUGUAGUC
rnacentral:rRNA from 1 species